rnacentral:misc_RNA from 1 species
GGCGUACCUUCAGCACCAAGAACCCUUAUAGGCAAGCAAUGGAGAUCAUAUAGUCCUGGUUUAAUGUCGUCAAGUUUUAAGCCCUCCACAAUAACAAUUUCCCUGCUUUUCAAUAAGACACGAUGUGUUUGAACGAGAUCAGUAUAGGCAGCAACCGACAAGUAAUCAAGUCCAACAAGUUUGUGUUCUGUACCAGCCAUUUUGCCCCAUCACUCAGGAACCCAACAUAGCUGCUAUCGAACUCCUUUUUGAACAUAAGCUUCCUAUCAGUAUUUAAUGUUCUGAAAAGCACACGAUGUAUUCCUUUAGGAAUUUUCAGAGACUUCACCACUUC